rnacentral:lncRNA from 1 species
UAUGAUCGCUUCCUUAGGAUAGAUGUGUCUUGAGUCUACGGUGUGGAGACACCAGAGUGAGAGUAUAGGUAUUCAUUGAGAAUGAGAGUACUGAGUGUGACCACCUCGAGCAGUCAUAAGGAAGUCUACCUUCUCGUCGAUGACUAGCUCGAUGCUGCAGCUGUGUGUCUAGUUCUUUGACCUGAGGUAUAUCGACAGUUCAUCUUGAGUGUGUUAUAGUUUGACUACACCAUAACUCGAUCUUCUAGCCAUUUGGAAUCCUGAGGUGUAUGUUGGCUGUAGCAUAUUCAUUAUAGGAACCAGAUUGCACCA